GACGAACGCUGGCGGCGUGCUUAACACAUGCAAGUCGAGCGGUAAGGCCCUUUCGGGGGUACACGAGCGGCGAACGGGUGAGUAACACGUGGGUGACCUGCCUUUAGCUCUGGGAUAAGCCUGGGAAACUGGGUCUAAUACCGGAUAUGACUCCGCGGUGCAUGCUGUGGGGUGGAAAGCCUUGUGCGGCUGGAGAUGGGGCCCGCGGCCUAUCAGCUUGUUGGUGGGGUGAUGGCCUACCAAGGCGACGACGGGUAGCCGGCCUGAGAGGGCGACCGGCCACACUGGGACUGAGACACGGCCCAGACUCCUACGGGAGGCAGCAGUGGGGAAUCUUGCGCAAUGGGCGAAAGCCUGACGCAGCGACGCCGCGUGAGGGAUGACGGCCU
rnacentral:rRNA from 1 species